rnacentral:rRNA from 1 species
GGCGAAGGCAUCUUGCUUGGACGGAUUCGACAGUGAGGAACGAGAGCUGGGGGAGCGAACCGGAUUAGAUACCCGGGUAGUCCCAGCCGUAAACUCUGCGGGUUACGCUUUGCUAAAUCUAAGUGAUUUAGCAGGGGGGAAGCGAAGGCAUUGAACCCGCCACCUGGGAAGUAUAGCCGCAAGGCCGAAACUUAAAGGAAUUGCCGGGGGAGUACUACAAGCGGUGCGGCGUGCUGUUUAAUUGGAUUUUACACCAAGCACCUUACCAGGGGCGACAGCAGGAUGAAGGUCAGAUUAAAGGUUUUACCUGACACGCUGAGAGGUGCUGCAUGGCCGCCGUCAGCUCGUGCUGUAAGGUGUCCUCUUAAGUGAGGAAACGAGCAAGACCUAUUUCCAUAAUUGCCAGUCGGGUCGACCGGCGCACUUUAUGGAGACUGCCUUGGAAACAAGGAGGAAGGUGUAGGCGACGGUAGGUCUGUAUAGCCCGAAUCUCCUGGGCUACAAGCGCGCAACAAUGGCAGGGACAAUGAGUCGCGACUCCGAAAGGGGUAGCUAAUCUCCAAACCCUGUCCAAGUUUGGAUUGAGGUUUGCAACUCAGCCUCAUGACAUCGGAAUCG